AUUGGUUCAAAGUUUGAUUUUGAUAAGAACACGUUACAAGAAGCUUCCAUUACAAAGACCAUUCAAAACUUAUUACAUUCUAUUACGAAUAUUACAAAGAAAGUAUUCCUAUUACAAAGUUUCAGCCUUUACAUUACACCAUCUAAUCCCAUCAUAUUUAAAAGUUCAAAAUCCUAUACAAGUACACAAAGGUACAUUACACAAAAAAAUAUAGCUGCAUCAUUUGUCCCAAACCUAUUUCAUCCAAUCUAUCUUGGAAUUCUUGUCUUAUUCACAGUGCUUUCAUAUGCUCUUACAGCCAUCCUGUAA